UAGUCAGACACGCAGUGACUCCUGCAGGCAGCAUUUCUGCUGAUCACUUUUACAACAGAAAAGAACAUUACAUUUCUUCACCGGGGUGAUCUCAUCUUGCAUAGAGACCACCCUGCCACCACACCACCCAUUUAAACAGACAACCAGAGAUGGGAAGGAUUGUUUAGAGAUCAACAAGGGAAGAACAGAACUUUGCAGAUGUCCGUUAUUGUAGAACAUGAACAAAUAUCCAGGGAACGUGAGAGAUGGCAUAAAAAGAAUAAGGAAUGAGGAAGUGCAAUGACAAAGCUCCCCUUCAGGAAGUCAAUGCUAACCACCUAGAAAAGAGUUGUUAGAAGAAAGUUAUAUUGGAUUAGAAGAAGUACCAGGGGAGUGGGAGUCAGAGUGUAUGUAUUUGACCAGUGGAUCAAAAUUUAUCCAACCCUGGAUAAUAAAGCGGCUACUAUUAUCAAGGGGGAAAGAAAAUUGUCCCUAGAUUCGGCAUUCCUAUUUGGCUUGAUUUAACAUAUUGAAAUAAAUUGACGAAAUUAAACAGCUGGGAAUUCCACAGCAGUUGAAUUGAAUUGUGCUUAUCGACCACAAGCUGUGGAUUGAAAAGGGUAAGACAGACCCCGAAAAUCAAAAUAAUAAAUUAAAGGCUGGGACUGAGUUUGGCUGAAUUGAAGCAUUCCCCAUGGUUAAUUUGAAUAAGAGUCAUGCCUGUAGGGAAAUCUGGACUGAAUCCAGCUGAAAUUCUUAUGAGGAACCUUCAUUAAGAGUACAUUGGAAAUCACAAUUUGACUGCGGAGAUAACUGACCACAGUUUAGCUGGGAUCAUAGUGUGGGAAGGCUUGUAUCAUAGAGCAGUGUACAUAGAGAGGCCUUCUGUUGACAGUGGAUGAAAGGAAUUUAUGGGUCUAUCUCCACCACUGUAAGAAUAUCAGUGGAAGUAUGGACUGCUAACUUACUUUAUCCCAGGUUCUUAAAGGAACUUUAUACUCUACUAUGGAUCAAGCGCAGAUGAAUUGGCAACACGGAUGGAGGGGAUUCACGCCCAUGAAAACUCGGGAAGUGAAGACUCAUCAGACGGGAAUCAUGAAGCUACGCCCAUGAAAACUCAGGAUGCUUGAUGACAUUCUGGGAAGAUACAUCAUCAUCUUGUUGUUAAUAUGUUUGAUAGAAUGUAACAGUCACCAGUGUACAACUAGUUAUCAUAAAUGAUGGUUAUCAUAUGAUAAAAGGGAGGAAUGUAAAUCCUGGCCAAAAAGGAGCAGGAACAGAACCAGCAUUUAGCAGAGGAUUCAUGCAUUGUAAGGCCAUUUUGGUCAAGUCUGUGUUUCUGUAUAUAACAAGACAAGGUGCCAGUAAGUCUAAGACCCAGAUCAAUGUUGCAGAUAAGAGAUGUAUGAGUAUCUCUUCAGUUGACAAAAUGAAUGAGAUUUUUGCAGAGGACCUCUAAAGUAGUAUAUAUGCAUUAAGUUGAUUGAAUUACUGCAAAAGCAUUGUAAAUAGUGUAAAUAAUGUUGCGAGUCAGUUACCCUGCUGUUUGUUGAUUGGCCAAAGUGUUAAGCCCUGGCAGGUUUGUUUGAGUUCCAGGGUAAAUGUUGCAUUAUUCAGUUAAGUUGGCUUCCUUCCAGAAGCUUCUCCUAGAAACAAUGCAUAGGAGAUUUUGUAAUUGGUUUGGGGAACUGUCAAUAAUGUACUGAUGUAAUUAAUAUGUUUGAUUGGAUUGUAAAGGGACCACCCCUAUGAAGUUCGGCCCAUCAAAGUUCGUGGGCGUAUAAAAGGUGGCUCCAUCUUACAUCGAGAUGAAGGGCUUGGCCAGGCAGAUGCAAGGAUCGAACCCACGGUGGUUUAGGUAUCGUAUAGGGGAAUUUGCUGUUCAAUCUAAAAAUAAAGAUUAGUUGUUCCAGU